rnacentral:lncRNA from 1 species
GGCUUGGUAUGGCUUGAAAACUGUUGUAAUUAAUUUUUAAAGUGACAAAAUCAUUUUGAAAGGAGACUUAAAGACUGUGGUAUCUUGGAUAAAUGGUCAUGAUUCUUCUCAACAUCCAGCACUUCGAAAUAUAAGGGCUCUUUAUGCUACAGUACCUAAUUUCUUUUGUCACCAUAUUAUGCAAGAAGUAAACCAAGUUGCUGAUUUUCUAGCAAACAAUGCAAGUGACAAGCGCCAUGAAGCAGUUUGGAAUAAUAGUUUUCCCAUU